rnacentral:rRNA from 1 species
GACGAACGCUGGCGGCGUGCUUAACACAUGCAAGUCGAACGGAAAGGCCCCUUUGGGGGUACUCGAGUGGCGAACGGGUGAGUAACACGUGAGUAACCUGCCCUUGACUUCGGGAUAACUUCAGGAAACUGGGGCUAAUACCGGAUAGGAAUCCUUGCUGCAUGGUGGGGGUUGGAAAGCUUCGGCGGUUUUGGAUGGACUCGCGGCUUAUCAGCUUGUUGGUGGGGUAGUGGCUUACCAAGGCUUUGACGGGUAGCUGGCCUGAGAGGGCGACCGGCCACAUUGGGACUGAGAUACGGCCCAGACUCCUACGGGAGGCAGCAGUGGGGAAUAUUGCACAAUGGGCGGAAGCCUGAUGCAGCAACGCCGCGGGCGGGAUGACGGCCUUCGGGUUGUAAACCGCGUUCAGCAGGGGCGAAGCUUGUGGUGACGGUACCUGCAGAAGAAGCACCGGCUAACUACGUG